rnacentral:lncRNA from 1 species
GGCCAACGAUGUGUUGCAAAUGUCACCAACGAGACACAUCAUCAUAUUAUUAGUGCAUGAAGAUAGAUAGAUAGUAAACAGACACCCAACUCAAACAUAGAUGCCAGUAACAGACAUUGGCAUCCUUAUUCAUCAUGGCACACAGAGAUAGAUAGAUAGUCAACACCCUCCACAAGGGUUGGCUAAGCCAGCAUCACGUAGACUCCAAAUGCAGUGAGAUACUCUGUAGUUGCAUGUCCGAAAAAGCCCUUAAUCUCGUCAUAUUCUACAUUGACUUGGAAAAAGGUUCCACCCCCACCUCCAUAUGGACCAUAUGUCUUUCCAAGACUGGUGGUAAACGUGAGUUGAGAUACACAAGGGAAUUCAGAACAGUCGUGCUUGACAUAACCNNNNNNNNNNNNNNNNNNNNNNNNNNNNNNNNNNNNNNUAGACUCCAAAUGCAGUGAGAUACUCGGUAGUUGCAUGUCCAAAAAAGCCCUUAAUCUCGUCAUAUUCUACAUUGACUUCGAAAAAGGUUCCACCCCCACCUCCAUAUGGACCGUAUGUCUUUCCAAGAUUGGUGGUAAACGUGAGUUGAGAUACACAAGGGAAUUCAGAACAGUCGUGCUUGACAUAACCAGAAACGGAGGUGAGGUAUUCAUCCGGCAUGAGAGUAAACUGCGAGGCAAUUGGAGCAAUGAUACAUUUAGUGAUUUAUAUAUGUUGUAAAUAGUGCGUUUGAUAGCAGGUAUUAUUAGUACGAGGGGAAGGCAAAAGAAUAGAAUAGACGAAUGGAGGUUGGAGAGGCAUGCCUGGAAUAGUUCACCGCCGGGGCCUCCAUAUCUGGGAGUUACGCGAGUGGUUCCGUCGAUGUCGAAGGUUAUCUUAAUGGAGUUUACGCACGAAGAAGCGCCGACGCUGAUGGCCGUGAUUUUGUCAGCAGGUUCCAUGCUCCAACGAGACUCGUUGUCGCAUGGACAUUUGGGGACGCCCCCUCGGGCAUGCGCGGCCGUCUUGAUAUGGUUUGAAGCCUGCACCACCAUGCAUCAUCCAUCACAAACCACAUAGAGUAGAAUAGAAACUGCAGUACUACAUAGAUAGAUAGGCCUCCCUCUAAGGGAAGCAAAGCUAUAUUCUUUCGGUGGAGGCAGAGUAUCUAUAUAGCGUCUCUCUCACUCACCAUUAGCGAGCUUAUGAAGCAAUUCCUCUCACGGCAGAUGAUAUGCAAACACAAA